GUCUUCCUUAAGGUCAUAUCUUUGGCUAUCUUCUCUCAGGUUCUCUGCAAGAAAGAAUAGAUAUCUUUUAUAUCUGUGACACAUAGAAUUCUAAACAGAACUAUGUUGCAGUUACUACUUUUAUAAUAAUGUCCAUGUCUGUUUUCACUCCUAGGCAUACCAUUUACUAUAUCACUAUCCUAGUAUCCUGUUGGCUCCUCUCAUCCUAGUCCUUCAUUUUGAAUAUUACACCAUAUAGAGUAACUGGAAUCAUUGAAGUGUCUUGAGAAAUGUGAAUGGAAAUAUAAAUUAGGCAGCUACUGUGAUAUCCAUUAUAUUCUUCAAAAGAAAUAUUGAGAAUAUCUACUCAGUAGUGAUUUAUAAGUGAUCAUGAAUCCUUGGAGAUUUUCCAUAUUUAGUGGCAUACAAAUUAAGAUCUUCUGCAGUUCAAUAUGCUGUCUUAUCAAAAGAAAAGGUGAACUUUACAGCAUCAGAAGAUACUACUUGGAACCAAGUGCCAAAGCUAAACUACAUCAGAGUGCCACCCUCAUUCAUGGUAACAUUUCAAAUAGUUUUCUCCAAGAUGCCCUGAGAAAGACAACCUCGGAAUUCACAACUUACGAAAGACUCAUUUAGCUUUUAAAUAUGUUGAAAUAUAUCCCAGAAAGACAAAUAGUCUAAAAAUACGAUUUCUCUAAAGAAAUGCUGAGAGAAAAAGAGAGUAUCUUUCUCUUUGGGUACCAGGAAAAAUUGAAAGAUUUUUGGCACAACAAUACAGAUUUUUGAACAUAGGCACAACUGGCAAAACAUUUUUUUCCAUGAAUAUGUGUAAUAUAUGAUUAGCUUAAUGACAGUUGUAGAAAAAAUAAUUAUUUCUCUGUGAUUU
rnacentral:lncRNA from 1 species